rnacentral:rRNA from 1 species
AUUGAACGCUAGCGGGAUGCUUUACACAUGCAAGUCGAACGGCAGCGCGGACUUCGGUCUGGCGGCGAGUGGCGAACGGGUGAGUAAUGUAUCGGAACGUGCCCAGUAGCGGGGGAUAACUACGCGAAAGCGUAGCUAAUACCGCAUACGCCCUACGGGGGAAAGCAGGGGAUCGUAAGACCUUGCACUAUUGGAGCGGCCGAUAUCGGAUUAGCUAGUUGGUGAGGUAACGGCUCACCAAGGCGACGAUCCGUAGCUGGUUUGAGAGGACGACCAGCCACACUGGGACUGAGACACGGCCCAGACUCCUACGGGAGGCAGCAGUGGGGAAUUUUGGACAAUGGGGGCAACCCUGAUCCAGCCAUCCCGCGUGUGCGAUGAAGGCCUUCGGGUUGUAAAGCACUUUUGGCAGGAAAGAAACGUCGCGGGCUAAUACCCCGUGGAACUGACGGUACCUGCAGAAUAAGCACGGGCUAACUACGUG